GACGAACGCUGGCGGCGUGCUUAACACAUGCAAGUCGAACGGAAAGGCCCUGCUUUUGUGGGGUGCUCGAGUGGCGAACGGGUGAGUAACACGUGAGUAACCUGCCCUUGACUUUGGGAUAACUUCAGGAAACUGGGGCUAAUACCGGAUAGGAGCUCCUGCUGCAUGGUGGGGGUUGGAAAGUUUCGGCGGUUGGGGAUGGACUCGCGGCUUAUCAGCUUGUUGGUGGGGUAGUGGCUUACCAAGGCUUUGACGGGUGGCCGGCAUGAGAGGGUGACCGGCCACAUUGGGACUGAGGUACGGCCCAGACUGCUACGGGAGGCAGCAGUGGAGAAUAUUGCACAAUGGGCGGAAGCCUGAUGCAGCAACGCCGCGUGCGGGAUGACGGCCUUCGUGUUGUAAACCGCUUUCGCCUGUGACGAGGCGUGAGUGACGGUAAUGGGUAAAGAAGCACCGGCUAACUACGUG
rnacentral:rRNA from 1 species